rfam:Aspergillus oryzae RIB40 DNA, chromosome 8.
CCAGCUCUCUUUGCCUUUUGGCUUAGAUCAAGUGUAGUAUCUGUUCUUUUCAGUUUAAUCUCUGAAAGUGUUCCAUAGGAACACAACAUUGAUUAUUCUUAUUUUUGGUCUCCGUGGCAGGGCCCCUGUGCUUGCGCAUGCCUUGCCACACUGUGUCAUCAGGCUUACACUACCCCUGAUAGACGCGAAUACCC